GAAUAUACACAAGAUUCACUAGAAAAUAGUGAAUCAAAGAGGGAGCUUUUCACAAAAUAUCCUUAAGUCAAAUUUUACUUGGUUGGGACCUAUUCUGGUCUUAGCCUUUAAGUUUUAAAGUUUACAAACCUUUUGGUUUGUUGCUGAUUAGAUUGAUUGAGGGAAACGAUCAAAAUCAAGCUCUAGGAGAGUUCUUGUGUUAAGUUCUUGGUGAGUCCCUUCAUUUAACGAUAGACUACUUAAGCAGUGAAGAGAAGGUAGUGGUGGCCAACUCCAAGGUUGAUUCUGUUGAGGCUGAAAACUCAAGGUUGAGGAAGGAUCUGAUUGAAGCUAUGGAUCAGUUGACCAAGGCCAAGGAGAAGGUGAAAGAACUUAAAGAAGUACUAAAGGUUGAGAAAAAACUUGUCAUUCAAAAAGACGAGGAAGUUCAAGCUACCCUCCUAAGAACGGACAAAGAAUGUGAGAAAGUGAUUUCUAGGUUCCCGGAGUUUGAUCACUUCUCCAACAUGCAAUUCGAGCAAUACUUUAAGGGCUAGAGCUUCUUCAUCAGUGGAUGAUGAAGCACCGUAGCCAUGUAGCUGAUUUUGCGAAUCUGGACUUUGAAGCUAAUGAUACUGAGAUCCUUGCGGACGAGGCUAAUGAGAAGGAAGGUGAAACCAUUGCUGAAGCUACCGAGGUUGUUGAGGGAGAAGGUGCUGCUACAGGAGGAGCUAAUGACGAGGCUCACACAAAGGCGAGCCGAGUUGAGGAGAUCGUCAAUGCUCCUUGAAGUAAAAAUUUAAGUUUUUUUUUUUUUUUUUUGGGUUCCAUUUUAAAGACAAUGAAUGCCUCCUAUUUUGAGGCUUUAAAUUUAGAAACGAUGGGUGCCUCCUGUUUUGAGGCUUUUAUUUUAGAAACAACACACUUAUCUUGUUUUGAA